rnacentral:rRNA from 1 species
UNUGAAGUUAAAGGCUGUGGCUUANCCAUAGUACGCUUUGGAAACUGUUUAACUUGAGUGCAGAAGGGGAGAGUGGAAUUCCAUGUGUAGCGGUGAAAUGCGUAGAUAUAUGGAGGAACACCGGUGGCGAAAGCGGCUCUCUGGUCUGUAACUGACGCUGAGGCUCGAAAGCGUGGGGAGCGAACAGGAUUAGAUACCCUGGUAGUCCACGCCGUAAACGAUGAGUGCUAGGUGUUAGGCCCUUUCCGGGGCUUAGUGCCGCAGCUAACGCAUUAAGCACUCCGCCUGGGGAGUACGACCGCAAGGUUGAAACUCAAAGGAAUUGACGGGGGCCCGCACAAGCGGUGGAGCAUGUGGUUUAAUUCGAAGCAACGCGAAGAACCUUACCAGGUCUUGACAUCCCGAUGCCCGCUCUAGAGAUAGAGUUUUACUUCGGUACAUCGGUGACAGGUGGUGCAUGGUUGUCGUCAGCUCGUGUCGUGAGAUGUUGGGUUAAGUCCCGCAACGAGCGCAACCCUUAUUGUUAGUUGCCAUCAUUCAGUUGGGCACUCUAGCGAGACUGCCGGUAAUAAACCGGAGGAAGGUGGGGAUGACGUCAAAUCAUCAUGCCCCUUAUGACCUGGGCUACACACGUGCUACAAUGGCUGGUACAACGAGUCGCAAGUCGGUGACGGCAAGCUAAUCUCUUAAAGCCAGUCUCAGUUCGGAUUGUAGGCUGCAACUCGCCUACAUGAAGUCGGAAUCGCUAGUAAUCGCGGAUCAGCACGCCGCGGUGAAUACGUUCCCGGGCCUUGUACACACCGCCCGUCACACCACGAGAGUUUGUAACACCCGAAGUCGGUGAGGUANCCUUUUAGGAGCCAG